rnacentral:misc_RNA from 1 species
AUCUCUCAACACAGAUGGGUUUAAUCACCUGUUCUGUUGCUUGGAUGUUGAAGGCCUGCUGGUAGAUUUGUUCACCAGCUCCUUUUAAAUAUAUCAGCGGAAACCUGGCAGAAUUGGCUUCAGUUUGAUAAAUUACCUCACGGUACUAACUGCUGCUAAUGAGUGCUAUUGUUUUGGCUUCUAAUUGUCCACUGUUGCUGGACUGUCUCUCUGUGAGGCAUACAAACUUGAC